rnacentral:rRNA from 2 species
GACGAAGGGGGCUAGCGUUGUUCGGAAUUACUGGGCGUAAAGCGUGUGUAGGUGGUUGUCAUAGUCAGGCGUGAAAGCCUUGAGCUCAACUCAAGAAAUGCGCUUGAUACUGGGCAGCUAGAGGACCGGAGAGGAUAGUGGAAUUCCCAGUGUAGUGGUGAAAUACGUAGAGAUUGGGAAGAACACCAGUGGCGAAGGCGGCUAUCUGGACGGUUUCUGACACUAAGACACGAAAGCGUGGGGAGCAAACAGG